GUGUCAGCCGCCGCGGUAAUACAGAGGGUGCAAGCGUUAAUCGGAAUUACUGGGCGUAAAGCGCGCGUAGGUGGCCAUCUAAGUCAAAUGUGAAAUCCCCGAGCUUAACUUGGGAAUUGCAUUCGAUACUGGGUGGCUAGAGUAUAGGGGAGGAAGGUAGAAUUCCAGGUGUAGCGGUGAAAUGCGUAGAGAUCUGGAGGAAUACCGAUGGCGAAGGCAGCCUUCUGGCCUAAUACUGACACUGAGGUGCGAAAGCAUGGGGAGCAAACAGGAUUAGAUACCCUGGUAGUCCAUGCCGUAAACGAUGUCUACUAGCUGUUGGGUCCUUUGAGGACUUAGUGGCGCAGCUAACGCGAUAAGUAGACCGCCUGGGGAGUACGGUCGCAAGACUAAAACUCAAAUGAAUUGACGG
rnacentral:rRNA from 1 species